CACGUCAACUAUGAUACAUCAAAAAAUUCAGCAAUUAGCAGCAGCAUCGGAAAAUCUCCAUAUCAAAAUUAAGUUUUUGUGCUGCCCCUGCAUAUAAUUUCCAAUACACUUAGUAAUAUGUGUGUUACUAUCUCAGAUAAUUGAAAGUAAACGUAAAAUAAAUUCCUUCAAAACAAAUAAUAAAAGUAGAAUAAAUUCAACCCAAAAGAAUAAAUGUAAAAGACAAGCCAAACUUGCAAUCCACAUGAAAAGCAGUGCAAGCAUUAAAAGUCUGUCGUUCAAUAUAUGGAGAACACGUUAAUAAAGCAAUUGAAUAUAGUCAUUGCUAAAAUAAAAACUAUACCCCUUGCCUAAUCCUCCAAAAUUAAAAAGUACUCCUGACUGUGAUGAAUGAUGAUCAUGCAUGGUCAAAAAAAUCACAUGAUUCAAAAUAUACAAAUCAGUGCACAACAGACAUUAAUAAUGUAAUCAAAUCAUAAUCUAAAAACAUAGAUGCUAGACAUAUACAAACAAAAAAUCAUAUGUUGUGUACUAUUCAUGUUCUAUUCAGAUUGCACAAAUGCAUCAGAUUAUUAGGCUUGAUUUCUCUAAAGAGAAAAAAGUUCGCACAGUAUGUUCAGAUUCGAUCAUCUGGGGAAAUAAUCAUCACACCCAUUGUACUAACAAUUACACAACAUUACAUAUAAACAUUUGAAUAUGUCUACAAAAAAUGCAAACAUGUUGAUUGAAUUAUGAAAGUUAAUAUUUAACAUGGCAAUUAAUGAUAAGUAACACAGAAUUUUAACUGCAAUUUAAUAAUGCAAAUAUAGAUCAGAUUAUUUGGCUUGAUUUCUCCAAAGAGAAAUAAAAUCGCACAGUAUGUUCAGCUACGAUCAUCUGGGGAAAUAAUCAUCACACCAAUCUAACAAUACAAACAAAUUACCAAGACUCUAUGUCUCUGACAUCAAAAAUAAACAUAAUUCAGAGUUUAUUGAGUACAAAUAUAUUACAAAUCAAUAAUUUUGAGUACAUUAUCUAAUAAUGCAAAGAAGGAUCAGAUUAUUUGGCUUGAUUUCUCUGAAGAGAAACAAAAUUCGCACAGUAUGUUCAGUUUCGAUCAUCUGGGGAAAUAAUCAUCACAUCCAACUUACAAUGCAAGUUUUUAAUUGAAAGUCAAUUUCGACAAAAUAAAUAUACAACAACGCAAUAUAAAACACUUCAAUGUAACUAAAUAGUGAAAUUAAAGCAUCAACUGCUAUAUUCCACAAAUCAUACUUAGAAAAGGAGAAAUGUAUCUGAUCACAUUAAAAAGAAUGAUGUAAUUAACAAUGUAUGGAAAAAUAUAUACUAUAAUUUAGAAGUUGAAACAAAAUGUAUUUUUAUAAUAUGGAGGUGUGCGUAACCCGAAUCUCAAUAUAUUUUCAACAGGGCUUUAAACACCACUCAAUCUAUAUACGGAGUUUGUUGGAAACAAAGCACUCAUGUGUAAAUAAUGCUUUCAAAAACAACACAUUACCCCUGAAACACUUUUCAACAACUUCAAAUUAAGAAAUUACUCCCUCCGUCGCUAUAUCUAAGCACCCAUUUGAUUUUUUUUUGUCGCUAAACAUACACCUCUUUUCAAAUUACAAGAUGCAUUUAUUAUUAUUUUCCUAAACAUACCCCUAAUUAAUACUAUAUUUUGUAGUGAAAUAUGAAAAGGCAAUGGGCGGAGUGAGUAUUCUCUAACAAAUCAAAAAAUUCAAUUUCCAAUAUGAUUGGGUCUAACAAAAUCAAAUAAUUCAGAGUAAGAGGGUGACGCUCAUAUUCUAUGGGUGUAUUCGUGUCUGUCAUGCCAUGGCAAUAGCAAUCAGUACGAGGAAUUGUUUAUAAUCAUCACAACCAACCUCUUUCUAUUAGGAAUUUAAUUCAAGUUUAAUAGUCACAAACUUGUAAGUUAUUUUAAAAGCACAAGAUCAAGCAUAUAAAGAAAUGUUGUGCUGUUAUUUAACUCCAUUCUCGUGGUUAUCAAAAGAUGAAGCUGAUAGACAACACUAACUCUAUGAGUUUAUUCAGACUCUAAACCAAUUCAUAAAGGAAAAGAGUAUAGUUAAAACUCAAUAAAACUAGAUUAAAACCAUAUAAUUAUAUACAAAUACAACUGAAUUCAAAGGUAAUAAACAACAAGACAAAUGAACCUCAGUUUAAUCUCUUUAUGUCAUUGGAAAUGUAGCAACACCAAGUAGGUUCACCCUGCGAACAGGAUCUUGGGUUAACUACAACCUCAGACAAGUUGGAUUGUUAAAAAACAUCAUUGGUACAAACAAAACCAGAACACACAAUAGAAAAUUAAACUUAUAUAACAAAUUUAUGCAAAACACAACUCAAACUAGAAUAGUUAAAAUUAAACACAACUCAAACUAGAAUAGUUAAAAUUAAACACAACCAUAUGAUCUAAACCAUUCUAAAUCAAAUUAUGUUUGAAUUCAAAACAAAAAAAAAAUUGUGUAAGGCUCAGAAUAUACUACAGCUCUAUCAAUCACGAUUUUCAGAAGCAGAACUGGCAUUAAGCUGAAUUAAUUCUCCUCACGGCCAAAUACAUCCUCUGAUACAUUAAAUUCCUUCCUGAAGUAUAACACUAAUAAUUGAAGGUAGCUAAAAUGCAUAUUAAUUCACAAAAUUGAACACUCAUCAAUUGAGAUUCAGCUAGCAACAUAUGAAAUGUCAUAAAUUGAAACCACAAUUGAUAGAUGAGCAUUUUGGGGUACCAUCUUAGGGUUUAAGGGAAUUGAAAGAGAACUUAAAAUGCAAUCAUCUAACAGAAACUAAUAAUAACAAAGAAAAGUUUGGCUCAUAUUAAGAAAUUCAACCAUUGAUUCCGAUAUACUUCAUAGGAAAACUCAGAAGCGCGGAUAAUAUGUAAUCAUAGCCAAAAAUUAGGUUUUCACGAAUCAAAAUCAUACAAAAAAAAAAGGUGUGGCGAAUUUUUUUAGAGGCUUAUACAUUAAUAGGUUAAAACCACCACGUGAAAACCGCCAGAGAAUCAAUUUCUGCCUCUAUGACUAGCUUUGAUUUUCAUGAAAUUUUUGGAAAACAAGCUAAAGGUGUAGUGAGGCAAAUUCAAAACAUAAAAAGUAAAUUGGAAAAUUGUGAUUUGAGAUUUAGCCAUUACUUUGACACAGAUUAGCCGUGAAAACUAGGCUGAAUUGCAACACGAACGGCGAAGAUCUAGCACGUGCUUAGGGCUUUCGAGUCAUUAGAUAUAUCAGAGAAGCCCGGGAGGCAUCGUGCUGAGAAAUUAAACGAAAGAGAAAGAAAAA
rnacentral:lncRNA from 1 species